rnacentral:rRNA from 1 species
AUUGAACGCUGGCGGCAUGCCUUACACACGCAAGUCGAACGGCAGCACGGGAGCAAUCCUGGUGGCGAGUGGCGAACGGGUGAGUAAUAUAUCGGAACGUGCCCAGUCGUGGGGGAUAACGUAGCGAAAGCUACGCUAAUACCGCAUACGAUCUAUGGAUGAAAGCGGGGGGAUCGCAAGACCUCGCGCGAUUGGAGCGGCCGAUAUCAGAUUAGGUAGUUGGUGAGGUAAAGGCUCACCAAGCCGACGAUCUGUAGCUGGUCUGAGAGGACGACCAGCCACACUGGGACUGAGACACGGCCCAGACUCCUACGGGAGGCAGCAGUGGGGAAUUUUGGACAAUGGGCGCAAGCCUGAUCCAGCAAUGCCGCGUGCAGGAUGAAGGCCUUC